CGUAAGUUAAAAGAUGAAGCACUUCUCAGGAGCAACAAGUGGAAAACAACACCAAAAGCUGCUUGAUGAAGCUCUCCUCUGGAAAAACGCGGUGAAGAGAACCCCAAAAGCUGGAUGGGGCAGAACUCCUUGGGGCCGUAUAGAAGAAAACACUAAAAGCUGCACGAUGAACUCCUCGGGGCCGUAGUGAAGAAAACGCCAAAAGCUGCAUGAUGACGCAUUCCCCCGGAGUCCCAAGGUGAAGAGAACCCCAAAAGCUGCACGAUGAAGAACUCCUCUGGAACCACAAGGCAAAGAAAACACAAAAAGCUCCACAAAGAAUUACUCCUCAAGUGCCACAGUGAAGAAAACGCCAAAAGCUGAAUGAUGAAGCACUCCUCAGGGGAAACGUGGUGUGGAGAACCCCAAAAGCUGUAAAAUGAAGACGUCCUCAGCGGAAACAUCUCAGGGGCAGCAAGGUGAAAACAACACUAAAAGCUGCACAAAGAAACUCUCCUCAGGGAAAACGUGGUGAAGAGAACCCCAAAAGCUGGACGGUGCAGAACUCCUCCGCGCUGCAGUGAAGUAAACAGCACAAGCUGCACGCUGAAGAACUCCUCCGGGUAAACGUGGUGAAGAGAACCCCAAAAGCUGGAUGAUGCAGAACUCCUCAAGGGCCACAGUGAAGAAAAUACCAAAAGCUGCUCGACAAACCAAUCCUCAGGGGCCGAAGUGAAGAGAACCAGAAAAGCUGCAUGAUGAAGAACUAACUCCUCAGGGUAGUAGUGAAGAACACUACAAAAGCUGCACACAGAAGCACUCCUCAGGGGCCACAGGGAGAACACAAAAAGCUCCACGAAGAAUAACUCCUCAAGCACCACAGGGAAGAAAACACAAAGAGCUGAAUGGUGAAGCCCUCCUCAGGGGAAACGUGGUGUGGGGAAAACCCCAAAAAGCUGCACGAUGAAGAGCUCCUCAAGGACGUAGUGAAGAAAACACCAAAAGCUGUUAAGAAGGCACUCCUCAGAGGCUGCAGUGGAGAAACACCAAAAGCUGGAUGAUGAAGCUCUCCUCAGGGGAAACAUGGUGUGGAGAACCCCAAAAACUGCACGAUGAAGAACUCCUCAGGGGCUGGAAUGAGAUAAAAAAACACCAAAUGUUAGAAGAUGAAGCACUUCUCAGGGGCAACAAGGUGAAAACGAGACCAAAAGCUGCACAAUGAAACUCUCCUUAGGGAAAACGUGCUGAAGAGAACCCCAAAAGCUGGACGAUGCAGAAUCCUCCGGGGUCACACAGGGAAGAAAACACCAAAGGCUGCCCACAGAAGCACUCCUCAGGGGCCACAAGCAG